UUACAAGUCAAACUAUAGUACAUAAUGCUAUGCAAUGUAACUGCUCCUGUUAUUAGAAGUACAAAACCUUCCUUCCUAAAACACAUGCUUGCAUAUGGGAAGAGGUUUUGUUUGGAGCAGAAGGAAAGCAUGUGUCUCUCCCAGGAGCAUUCUGGCCCUUCACAUAAAACUCCCACCUCUCCUAAUCUCUUACAUCUCAGAAACAUCUGCAUGGUUUUUCAGUGACAUGAGAAGCUGGGUGAGUUGCUGCAUUGUAACCUUUUUUUGCUUUGAGUCCAAUGUGCUUUGAAGGCUGUCCUGUGCAAAUGCUAUUUGAUUCUAUUAAAGCUACAUUUCAAAUAGACAGUAGAGGACAAAGCAGGAGAUGAAAGUAGUCCCCAAGAACAGUUCACACCUGCUUCUUGAAGGUGCUGAUGCUGGCUUCAAAGGGGUUAAAUCCUUUUCCAGAGGCCAAUGAGAUGCUUGAGGUUUGAAUUUUGUUAAAUGGGCAAAUAAGUCAGUUCUGCAGGGGUAGUAGAGGGCCGAGAUUAAUUAAAUCACACACUGCAAAUAGCUGCAACAGCAGAGAAAGAACUCCUUUCUCAUCAGCAGUUUCCCAAUGGCUUCUAGCAUAAAAAACAUCAGACCACAGAUUCACCACAAAUUUAUAGGCUUUCAUAAGGUUAUAGGAUGGUUUAACAAGUCACUUACUGUUUUAAUAGUGGGUGCCUAAUUUUGUUGGUGUCCAGACUUCAGCAUAGAUACUGUAAAUGUAAUAUUCCCAUAGGCAAUUAUCAGCCUCUGCCUGAGCCUAUGUCUCUAUCUUCCCUUUUCCCAUUACAGCUCUAGAACUAUGAGAGCAGCAAUGAGUUGUAGUGUGGAUGUGAUGCCUGAGACCAAACUGCUGCCUUGCCUGGGCCCUUCUACAUGACCAUUUACGCUCACUGGAGAGUAAACCUGCAGGAGAACUUCAGAAUGGUGUAAGAGGAUGUAGGGAUAGCUGCUGCCACUUAAUUCUGUAUGUAUCUACUGUGCUGUGCCAGUGCCUGCUUGGUCUGAAACCUGCUUCUGGUUUGGUUGUUCUUUUAUUUCUUGGGAGAUAUACUUCCCCAAAUAAGGCUUACCUCACAUAUUUCUUGCAGCGGAAGAGAGAAGUAAUAUCCCAAAUAAUUACUUAGAAAAAAAAAAUAAUGGGAUUAUGUGAGAGAAUUACCGUAUGAAGCUACUUGGUGCAGGAGAGCUGUAAUGAAAUCUUGCAAUAAGGGACAUACCACUGACAUUUAGGUUUAUUGAUGAGUGACUCCUGCUCAAAAGCUUUCAAAGCCAUUAUCUGCUGCCUGCCACUCUGCCCUGUUUCAGUAGGACUGCAUCAAAAACCUUACUUUUAGAGCACUGUAAAGCAACUAAUGGAAAAAAAACAAGGGGAAAGAAUCUCACUUGAAAUGUGUCAUUAACAUAGAUGCAGAAAUGCCAAAGCCUCUGAAUAUGACACUGUGAGGACCCAUGCAUUGUGUGGAAGGGACAAUAGGUGUUCUUAGAACCAGACCACCAAUUGUGGAUUACUGCAGGUAUUUUGCUGAGUGAGGAAGACAAGGAGCUAAACAGCUACCAUGUGCUCAGUAAAACACUGAUGUGGUGUUCUCACAGGAGGCAAAAUGCACCUGGUCCUCAAGGUCCUCUACCAGCUGAUUCAUUUGGAAAUGCAACACAGCAAAUAAGAGAGAACACACUUCAUCUAAACCCUGCAACAGCUAGAGCCAGAAGUCAAAUAUAUGCAGUAAAAGAAAUUCUUUGUACUUCUAUUGUGUCUUUCACCCAAAUAUUCCAAUGGAUGUCUACACCUCAUGCUCCUUUUCAUCUGCAAGUCCUGCUCUUGGUAUGUUAUCAUUUGCAUUUCCCUGUCCAAAAAAAAAAAAAAAAAAAUUCUGAAAAGUGGGAUGAGGCAAAAGUAAUCUGCACAGAGAUGGGAGAAGAUCUCUAUAAUUUCUGAGGCCUUCUCCAUCACUAAUUCCAAUGCUAUCUGUUUUAUAAGUGGGCCACAGAGGUGUUGAGGAUCUUGAUGUCUGCCUUCACAAACAGCUAGCACCUACUUUCAGUUGACUGCCGAUUAAAGCAAGUAGAUAAAAGCAGUAAAAGGCCAAUGUGAGUAAUGUAUUUUAUGAUUUACAUCAGUUUUUAGUUUACAUCAAAACUCCAUUUAGG
ensembl:lncRNA